rnacentral:rRNA from 1 species
UACGGAGGGAGCUAGCGUUGUUCGGAAUUACUGGGCGUAAAGCGCGCGUAGGCGGCUUUGUAAGUUAGAGGUGAAAGCCCGGAGCUCAACUCCGGAACUGCCUUUAAAACUGCAUCGCUUGAAUCCGGGAGAGGUGAGUGGAAUUCCGAGUGUAGAGGUGAAAUUCGUAGAUAUUCGGAAGAACACCAGUGGCGAAGGCGGCUCACUGGACCGGUAUUGACGCUGAGGUGCGAAAGCGUGGGGAGCGAACAGG